CUCACCAUGGGAUGGAGCAGGAUCAUCCUCUUCCUCUUGUCAGUAACUACAGGUGUCCACUCCCAGGUUCAGCUGCAGCAGUCUGGAUCUGAGCUGGGGAAACCUUGGUCCUCAGUGAAGUUGUCCUGCAAGGCUUCCGGCUUCAACACUGUUGAUACCUAUAUGCACUGGGUGAAGCAGAGGCCUGGACAGGGCCUGGAGUGGAUUGGAGCUAUUAAUCCUGGAAGUGGUGGUACUAGCUACAAUCAGAAGUUCAAGGGCAAGGCCACACAGACUGCAGACAAAUCCUCCAGCACAGCCUACAUGGAGCUCAGCAGCCUGACAUCUGAGGACUCUGCGGUCUAUUACUGUGCGCGAAACACAGUGUUACAACCCACAUCCUGA